rnacentral:rRNA from 1 species
AGCGAACGCUGGCGGCAGGCCUAACACAUGCAAGUCGAGCGCCCAGCAAUGGGAGCGGCAGACGGGAUAGUAACACGUGGGAACGUACCCUUCAGUUCGGAACAACCCAGGGAAACUUGGGCUAAUACCGAAUACGUCCGUAAGGAGAAAGAUUUAUCGCUGAAGGAUCGGCCCGCGUCUGAUUAGCUAGUUGGUGAGGUAACGGCUCACCAAGGCGACGAUCAGUAGCUGGCUGAGAGGAUGAUCAGCAUCACUGGGACUGAGACACGGCCCAGACUCCUACGGGAGGCAGCAGUGGGGAAUAUUGGACAAUGGGCGCAAGCCUGAUCCAGCCAUGCCGCGUGGAUGAUGAAGGCCCUAGGGUUGUAAAGUCCUUUCGGCGGGGGAAGAU